UCCCCAGUGGCUCACAUGGUAAAGAAUCUGCCUUUAAUUCAGGAGACCCGGGUUUGAUCCCCGGCUCAGGAA
rnacentral:tRNA from 1 species